UUAUACAAACCAUCACAGAGCUCAUCUCAAUAGUUCAUUACUAGAGAAGUUUUUCUGUGCAGGGCACCCAAGGCUGUGAGGUGGAGUUCCCUCUUGUGUGUGAAGCUGGCUGUAGGUGCUGCUUCCUGCCGCUGCCCUGUGCCAUUAACAAUCCAUCUUCUCUUCUUGGAGAGAGUGAGAGGAGGGGAAGGCAGUCUGAGUGGA
rfam:Mus musculus chromosome 7, GRC primary reference assembly.